rnacentral:rRNA from 1 species
UGGGAAUAUGGACAAUGGGCGCAAGCCUGAUCCAGCAAUGCCGCGUGUGUGAAGAAGGCCUUCGGGUUGUAAAGCACUUUUAUCAGGAGCGAAACGCUGUCGGCUAAUACCCGGCGGAACUGACGGUACCUGAGGAAUAAGCACCGGCUAACUUCGUGCCAGCAGCCGCGGUAAUACGAAGGGUGCAAGCGUUAAUCGGAAUUACUGGGCGUAAAGCGUGCGUAGGCGGUUUCUUAAGUCUGCUGUGAAAUCCCCGGGCUCAACCUGGGAAUGGCAGUGGAUACUGGGAGGCUAGAGUGUGUCAGAGGGUGGUGGAAUUCCCGGUGUAGCGGUGAAAUGCGUAGAGAUCGGGAGGAACAUCAGUGGCGAAGGCGGCCACCUGGGACAACACUGACGCUGAGGCACGAAAGCGUGGGGAGCAAACAGGAUUAGAUACCCUGGUAGUCCACGCCCUAAAACGAUGCGAACUGGAUGUUGGUCUCAACUCGGAGAUCAGUGUCGAAGCUAACGCGUUAAGUUCGCCGCCUGGGGAGUACGGUCGCAAGACUGAAACUUAAAUGAAUUGACGGGGGUCAUAGCUGUUUCCUG